AACGUAGGGGGCGAGCGUUGUCCGGAAUCAUUGGGCGUAAAGGGCUCCUAGGCGGUUCAGUAAGUCGACUGUGAAAAUCCAAGGCUCAACCUUGGGACGCCAGUCGAUACUGCUGUGACUCGAGUCCGGUAGAGGAGUGUGGAAUUCCUGGUGUAGCGGUGAAAUGCGCAGAUAUCAGGAGGAACACCAACGGCGAAGGCAGCACUCUGGGCCGGUACUGACGCUGAAGAGCGAAAGCGUGGGUAGCAAACAGG
rnacentral:rRNA from 1 species